UACAGAGGUCUCAAGCGUUGUUCGGAUUCAUUGGGCGUAAAGGGUGCGUAGGCGGCGCGGUAAGUCGGGUGUGAAAUCUCGGGGCUUAACUCCGAAACUGCAUUCGAUACUGCCGUGCUUGAGGACUGGAGAGGAGACUGGAAUUUACGGUGUAGCGGUGAAAUGCGCAGAUAUCGGGAGGAACACCGGUGGCGAAGGCGGUUCUCUGGGCCUGACCUGACGCUGAGGCACGAAAGCGUGGGGAGCAAACAGG
rnacentral:rRNA from 1 species